GGCCUAACACAUGCAAGUCGAGCGGUAACAGAAAGUAGCUUGCUACUUUGCUGACGAGCGGCGGACGGGUGAGUAAUGCUUGGGAACAUGCCUUGAGGUGGGGGACAACAGUUGGAAACGACUGCUAAUACCGCAUAAUGUCUACGGACCAAAGGGGGCUUCGGCUCUCGCCUUUAGAUUGGCCCAAGUGGGAUUAGCUAGUUGGUGAGGUAAUGGCUCACCAAGGCGACGAUCCCUAGCUGGUUUGAGAGGAUGAUCAGCCACACUGGGACUGAGACACGGCCCAGACUCCUACGGGAGGCAGCAGUGGGGAAUAUUGCACAAUGGGCGCAAGCCUGAUGCAGCCAUGCCGCGUGUGUGAAGAAGGCCUUCGGGUUGUAAAGCACUUUCAGUCAGGAGGAAAGGUUAGUAGUUAAUACCUGCUAGCUGUGACGUUACUGACAGAAGAAGCACCGGCUAACUCCGUGCCAGCAGCCGCGGUAAUACGGAGGGUGCGAGCGUUAAUCGGAAUUACUGGCGUAAAGCGUACGCAGGCGGUUUGUUAAGCGAGAUGUGAAAGCCCCGGCUCAACCUGGGAACUGCAUUUCGAACUGCAAACUAGAGUGUGAUAGAGGGUGGUAGAAUUUCAGGUGUAGCGGUGAAAUGCGUAGAGAUCUGAAGGAAUACCGAUGGCGAAGCAGCACCUGGUCAACACUGACGCUCAUGUACCAAAGCGUGGGAGCAAACGGGAUUAGAUAC
rnacentral:rRNA from 1 species